CGUAAUUUCUUGUCCUCUACUGCUAAGGAUCUCUGGGAAAGGAAUCGUGCAAGGCUGGUGCAGCAGGCAUUGCUGCUCGAGUCAACUCAGCCCCAGCCAACUCAGCCCCACCCAAGUCUGCGCCUUUCAAAGCAGCUGUGCCGCUCUUCGAAGGGCCUUAGCUCCUCCCCGGAAUUCUUUCCAAUUCCCAUCAAGGACCCACCGCUGUUCUCCAUCGAGCCCCACUGCGGUACCAUCCCUGCUGGCCAGAAUCAGAUUUUCCAUGUGAAAUUCUUCCCGACGCGUGUGGGGGAAUUUAAGGCCGAAAUGCUGUGCAGACUUCUUAACCUGAAGCCAUCUCAGAAGAGUCCACGGGUGUUUGUGAUGGGGAAAGGCUGUUUGCCGAAGGCUGAUCUGAAAUGCUCUACAUCACCGCAAAAAGGUGAAACCCAGAGCAGCAAACCCAAGAAGAAGGUGCAGCGGUCAGCAAAACCAGAGUGACACCAUUUGUGUCAUGGCUUCUCCUGCUCGUGGUUUCCCAGCCUUCAGCAGAGACCUCCCCAGCUACUCUUCAAGCCCCAACACCCAUCUCUACCUCAUCUGUGUACUACCUAAUAAACUGUGUCUCAACGCA